GACGAACGCUGGCGGCGUACUUAAUGCAUGCAAGUCGAACGGGGUCCAUCCAGUGGCAACACUGGUGAAGACCUAGUGGCGAACGGGUGCGUAACACGUGAGGAACCUGUCCCGAAGACUGGGAUAACACCGGGAAACCGGUGCUAAUACCGGAUACCCCCAUCCCGCCGCAUGACGGGAUGAGGAAAUGGAUUUCCGCUUCGGGAGGGCCUCGCGGCCUAUCAGCUUGUUGGUGGGGUAACGGCCUACCAAGGCUUCGACGGGUAGCUGGUCUGAGAGGACGACCAGCCACACUGGGACUGAGACACGGCCCAGACUCCUACGGGAGGCAGCAGCAGGGAAUCUUGCGCAAUGGGCGAAAGCCUGACGCAGUAACGCCGCGUGGGGGAUGAAGGCCCUCGGGUUGUAAACCCCUUUCAGCAGGGACGAAACUGACGGUACCUGCAGAAGAAGCCCCGGCCAACUACGUGCCAGCAGCCGCGGUAAUACGUAGGGGGCAAGCGUUGUCCGGAUUCAUUGGGCGUAAAGGGCACCUAGGCGGUUACGCAAGUCGGAUGUGAAAGCUCCAGGCUCAACUUGGGGAGGCCACCCGAUACUGCGUUGACUUGAGUCCGGUAGGGGAUCGUGGAAUAUCUGGUGUAGCGGUGAAAUGCGCAGAUAUCAGGUGGAACACCGAUG
rnacentral:rRNA from 1 species